rnacentral:rRNA from 1 species
CGAACGCUGGCGGCGCGUUUUAAGCAUGCAAGUCGAACGGUAGACCGGUGCUUGCACUGGUUGAGAGUGGCGAACGGGUGAGUAACACGUAGGUAAUCUACCUUGAAGUUGGGGAUAGCCUGUGGAAACACAGGGUAAUACCGAAUAAUGUCGGGUAACCGAAGAAAGAGGCUAUGGCCUCGCUUUAAGAUGAGCCUGCGGCUCAUUAGCUAGUUGGUAGGGUAAAGGCCUACCAAGGCGACGAUGAGUAGCCGACCUGAGAGGGUGACCGGCCACACUGGGACUGAGACACGGCCCAGACUCCUACGGGAGGCAGCAGCUAAGAAUCUUCCGCAAUGGUCGAAAGACUGACGGAGCGACGCCGCGUGGACGAUGAAGGCCGGAAGGUUGUAAAGUCCUUUUAUUGGAGAAGAAUAAGUGCAGGAGGGAAUGCCUGCAUGAUGACGUUAUCCUAUGAAUAAGCCCCGGCUAAUUAC